rnacentral:tRNA from 1 species
UGGGAUGCAGCUCAGUGGUAGAGCACUUGCCUAACAAGUAUGAGGCUCUGGGUUCGAUCCUCAGCCCCAC